CAGAGGUAGCGAAUGAUUUCUCAAUAAUGCAGUAUUCAGCUGCUCAAUUGCUCCCAAGCUACAUAGCUCAUCAUGUUUUUACACUGUUCUGUAUCUGCAGCCAUUUCAAUUCCCAGCAACAUCCCAGCAACAGCAAUAAUGGAAAGAAGCAGCAUUCAUUUCAGUACCAAGUUAAGAAAAACAAGGGUGACUUCGGAGACUGUAGUGCACUUCAAAAGAGGUUUCCUUGUACAAGAAAUCAUCUCUCCUUCAUACAAUAGAUACACAUGAAGAUUCAUACAGACCGAGGCAAUACAACUGUGAUUCAUCCUUCAGACUAACGUGUACAUAGCAACUCUAAUUUUAUUUACAACCAUGAAAAAUGAAAGCUUUUUCCAGAAUAUAAGCAGCUAGCUCUUCUGUGUCAUGAAUCUCUUUCCCCAUCCAUAUAAAAUCCUCUUCUUUCUAUACUGCAGCUCAAGCACAAAUGCAGUGUUUUUCACAUAACCAGUUCUAUUUUUAGCCUGAAUUGUAGGAAGUCUGCAGCAUUAAUAAAUGGAAGAGAAGUACAGAAGUACACUGCAUGGUAAUGUGCCAAUGCAAAAGCUACCUUGGCCUUUAGCCAGUGAACUGUGGUUAGAUGUUAGAGCAAUCAAAGUGAAAACACCACUUAUAACAGAAUGAUUAAUAAGCUGACAAACUUCCAUGCAUUUAUUUCAUACUUUUUGAAUGCCAACCUUAUUAAUACCAACAUAUUUUCUUUUUAUUAGUGAUAUCUCUCAGCCUGAAGGACAGAGGAGAUAAAUAUAUAUAUACUUAUAUGUAUUUUUAUACCUGCAAUUGUGGUUUGCUUAAUUCUGUGUUCAAAUAAAAAGGAGGAUACUUUGCAGUGCAGACCUUGACACAGGAAAACAAGGAAUAAGGAAGGAGCUUUUUUUUAUAAACUAAUAUUGUGACUCCAGUAGGCAUAAAACUCAUUGUUUCAAGAUUUUCUCUCUUAUUGACUCCGCAAUUCGCUUGUCUGGCCUCAAAAUUCAGAAAGCAAAAAUGCUCCAAAGCUGUUACACGAAGGACAAAAGUUCACAGUUCUUACAGGGACACAGUCUUCUGUAAUCACUUCUCACCCAAUCCACAAAACUUGUCCCAGCACUGUUAUGCUGUGGACAGAUGGAUGUUUAUAUAAAAGACCUUGUUCCUGAAUAAAAUUCCAUUUCGGGGUUAUAUAAAAACAGCAAUUACUGGAAAAUGGAACUUUUUAAUUAAAUGUAUUCGAAGAAAGUAGGGAUUAAUGACUUUAAAGUAGGGAGUAUUUAAUGCUUGCAGUCAUAGAUCAUCCACUAGUGAAGCUGUAUUAUCACCAUCAGGCAACAAUGCUUUUAAGUAUCAAUGGUGGGUACGUUAAUAAGGCUUCAAAUGUUUUCAUAGCAAUAUAAUUAGCAACACAACUAAUGUAUACUACACCUAUUCUUAAAAUAAUGCCGUAUUAACCUUAACUCACAGCAACCUCUUCAAAAUAAAUAAACAUAGACUUCAGAUCAGGCUGGUUGUCCCUUGGUCCAGUGAAGUGAAGAUUUGAAACAUCGAAACUUUUAGGCAAUGCUGAUGUGGUAGGGUACGGUUCCUGAUAAUUACACCAGAAAAAUGUAAUAACGGCCUAUCUGAUUCGCUGAUUUGUAGGUAGGAAGGAAAUGAUUGCUUUGCACUUCAAUUAAAUACAGGCAAUAAAACAUAGGCAAAAUUUUAUACUGGCUCUGAAAUUGUGCCUGCACAGAUCAGAGCCUGGGUCAUGCACAUCUUAAAAAUCAAGCUCUGACUGUGUACCUCAUAUGGAUCAAAUACUAUAUGGUGAGAACAGAAACCCACGCACAGAAGUCAAGAGAGAAAAACCGAAACACCAACAUUAGCUUUGUUUUUCUGUGAAGAAUUUUAUUCAGGUACAGGAAAAUCAAUACUUGUCCUCUGACUGUACACAGUGUACUUGAGCUGUUCUGUCAGGAUCUAUAUAGAAAACAGAGAUGGAAUUUUAGGUGGGUGGAUAUGAUGAUCAGGUGGAGGUAAAACACAAUGGCAC